rnacentral:rRNA from 1 species
ACAUCCCGAAGUAUUGUCGAGCUGCCUAUUUUCUGUUGAGCACCCAAUCUAUAAUAUUAAAACAUUAUAACCAGAAAAACAUGCAGAGGCUACAUACCCCGCGAAAUACGAUAGCUGGUUUCACAACCCCCAAUAUAAGUUGGUGUAGUAAAACACUAUAUAAAAAUUAAAGGCUAAGCUUUAAUUUCCACUCUAUAUCGUCUUCCUAAUAAUUCAAUCUAGGCUUAAUAGCAGCCCACCGCUUCACCGCGACAAUUAUCUAUAACUACAAUAUUAAACCCAUUGCCCCCUAUAAGUGAACCCCCCAUUAUUAAUGGUAUUCAUAUAAUGUUAAAACAAAUAUUAUUUAAUUCAAUAUAUAACUAUAAUCUACUCAACCACAUAUACAUCAACACCACAUGAUUAGAAGGAACUCGGCAAAUACUAUUUUCGCCUGUUUAUCAAAAACAUCGCCUAUUGUAUACAUAAUAGGUCCAUCCUGCCCAGUGGAAACAUUCUUAACGGCCGCGGUACCCUGACCGUGCAAAGGUAGCAUAAUCACUUGCCCUUUAAUUGGGGGCUGGUAUGAAUGGACACACGAAAAUAUACUGUCUCCUAACCAAAAAUAGAAACUAGAACUCAAGUGAAGAUACUUGAAUAUCACUUCAAGACAAGAAGACCCUACAGAGCUUUAUUAACUAUGUAUUACACUAUCACACCACAACUUUCAUUAAUUUGGUUGGGAUGACCAAAGACCAGUAAAACCGUCUUUCUCAUUAUUGGACAACAAUCAAAUCACCCAUUACUGUACACGACGCAGCUACCUUAGGGAUAACAGGCUAAUCCCGCUAGAGAGAUCACAUUGACAGCGGGGGUUGGCACCUCGAUGUUGGCUUAGUGAACCCUCUGAGCGCAGCAGCCCAGACGAGUCGGUUUGUUCAACCGUUAAAACACUACAUGAGCUGAGUUCAGACCGGCGUAAGCCAGGUUAGCUUCUAUCUGCAGAAUCACAAUAUAAAUCACAGUACGAAAGGACCCGA